AUGAUCCGGCGCGGCAUGCCGCCGCUGCUCGCGCUCCUGCUUGUCGCCGCGGUCACCGCGCAGCAGGAGGGCAACGUGCCGGAGCAGUACGCGGCGUCCCUCGCCACCCGCUUCGACGCGCCGGCGAGCUGGCCGUUCCCGAACCCGCGCCUGCGGGCGGCCUACGCGGCGCUCCAGGCCUGGAAGCAGACGGCCAUCUUCUCCGACCCGGCCAACUUCACCGCCAACUGGCUCGGCCCCGACGUCUGCCGCUACAACGGCGUCUACUGCGCGCCCGCCCCGUCCGCCUACGGUGCGGUGACCGUCGCCGGGAUCGACCUCAACCACGCCGACAUCGCGGGCUACAUCCCCGCCUCCCUCCCGCUCGGCCUCCCGGACCUGGCGCUGCUGCACCUCAACUCCAACCGCUUCUGCGGGGUGGUGCCCGACACCUUCCGCCGCCUGCGCCUGCUCCACGAGCUCGACCUCAGCAACAACCGCUUCGUCGGCGCCUUCCCGGAGGUGGUGCUCGCGCUGCCGUCCCUCAAGUACCUCGACCUCCGCUUCAACGACUUCGAGGGCGCCAUCCCGCCGGCGCUCUUCGACCGCCCGCUCGACGCCAUCUUCCUCAACUCCAACCGCCUCCGCCACCCCAUCCCCGCCAACCUCGGCAACUCGCCGGCCUCCGUCGUCGUGCUCGCGCACAACCGGCUCGGCGGCUGCAUCCCGCCCUCCAUCGGGAGGAUGGCGGACACGCUCAACGAGAUCGUGCUCAUCGACGACCUGCUCACCGGCUGCGUCCCGCCGCAGGUCGGGCUGCUCAAGAAGGUGACGGUGUUCGACGUCAGCGGCAACCGGCUCCAGGGCGCGCUCCCCGCGGCCGUCGGCGGGAUGGCCGCCGUCGAGGAGCUCGACGUCGCCGGGAACCUCUUCGAGGGCGCCGUGCCGGCCGCCGUCUGCGGCCUCGCCGGGCUCAAGAACUUCACCUACGCCGACAACUUCAUCACCUCGCGCCCCGGCUGCGCGCAGGCCACCGCCGACGGCGCGUGGAACUGCAUCCCCGGGGCGCCCGCGCAGCGCCCAGCGGCGCAGUGCGCCGCCGCGGCCUCCCACCCGUUCGACUGCAGCAAGGCGCAAUGCCAGUUCCAGGCGUACACUCCCGCCACCCCCACGCCCGGUGGUGGCAAACCUUCCAGCCCGUCCUACCCGUCGCCGCCGUCAAGCAGGACCACUCCGUCGUCCCAUUCGCCUCCCAAGGGCUCCGGCACGCCGGCAUACCCCUCGCCGCAUCAGGGAUCCACCACCCCGUCGCCACCUUCAAGCUCCACCACCCCGUCAUACCACUCGCCACCUCAGGGAUCCACCACGCCAUCGCCACCAGGCUCAACCACGCCGUCGUACCCGACGCCACCAUCCAGCUCCAGCACCCCGUCAUACCACUCGCCGCCCCAGGGAUCCACCACGCCAUCGCCACCCGGCUCAACCACCCCGUCGUACCCGACGCCUCCGUCGAGCUCCAGCACCCCGUCGUACCACUCGCCGCCCCAGGGAUCCACCACCCCAUCUCCAACGCAGGGCUCGACCACACCGUCGUACCCGACGCCGCCGUCCAGCUCCAGCACCCCGUCAUCCCACUCGCCGCCGCCGCAGAGCACGCCGGGGACCCCGUCCUCGUACCCGUCUCCUUCGUCAGGCACCCCGACGCCAGUAGGAGGCCACGCGCCGCCUCCCCCGACCUCAGCCGACAAGCCAGACGGUCGGUACGCGCCGCCCCCGGGCUCGUACGGCCCCACGACGCCCUCCGGCUCGACGCCACCCUCCUCCGGCAGCCACACGCCGUCGCCGCCCACGGAAUACCCCGGCUACGCUCUGCCUCCCCACUCGUCGGGAACCCCAGGCACCACGCCUCCAUCGCAGACGCACCCAGGCACCCCGUCCUCGCCGUCGUCAGGAACAACAACGCCGUCCACGCCCGAGCACUGCGCGCCGCCGUCCCAGGGCGGCAGCACCGGCCACCCGUCGCCGACGCCGUCCGGCGCGAAUCUGCCGUUCCCGCCGGUGUACGGCAUGGCAUACGGGUCGCCGCCACCGCCAAUGAAGCCGUACAACUAA
rnacentral:rRNA from 1 species